AUGCCCUCAGUGGGGGAAGAUCAACGGUUCCGACGAGAUGGCAUUGCCUUCUCCACCAAGCAUGCAUACGGCGCCCUCAUGGCUCGGCCAGAUAACGAUCUCAUUGCUCCUCUCAUAUGGAGUGCCAAGGUUUCUCGGAAACUCAAAGUCUUCGCCUGGCUACUCUUCAAAGACCGCCUCAACACCAGGGUCAACCUUGCACAUAAGCAUAUAAUCGAUUCAGAUAUAUGCCCCCGAUGUGCUAGGCUACCCGAAGACUCCAGCCACCUCUUCAUCACGUGCCCUUUUGCUAAUAGGAUUUGGCAACGACUUGAGCUCCUGCCACAAACCAACGACAUCACAGACCUAUGGGAUGUCACUACUCCUCCUCACCUCUCUACCACGGCAUGGCCUUCGGCCCUCUUGGCUUUAUUGUGGAUGAUAUGGGCAGCACGUAAUGACAUGGUAUUUAGGACGGUCGAUCAAAGCUCUGUAAUAACCCUUAGGAACCUUAUUUCUGCUUUGGACCUCUGGUCUCAUCGUCUUGUGCAAACACAAGACAAGGAGGACAUUUUCUCGUGA
rnacentral:rRNA from 1 species